GACGAACGCUGGCGGCGCGCCUAACACAUGCAAGUCGAACGGAGCUUAAAGAGCUUGCUUUUUAAGCUUAGUGGCGAACGGGUGAGUAACGCGUGAGUAACCUGCCCUAGAGUGGGGGACAACAGUUGGAAACGACUGCUAAUACCGCAUAAGCCCACGGUACCGCAUGGUACUGAGGGAAAAGGAUUUAUUCGCUUUAGGAUGGACUCGCGUCCAAUUAGCUAGUUGGUGAGGUAACGGCCCACCAAGGCGACGAUUGGUAGCCGGACUGAGAGGUUGAACGGCCACAUUGGGACUGAGACACGGCCCAGACUCCUACGGGAGGCAGCAGUGGGGGAUAUUGCACAAUGGGGGAAACCCUGAUGCAGCGACGCCGCGUGGAGGAAGAAGGUUUUCGGAUUGUAAACUCCUGUCGUUAGGGACGAUAAUGACGGUACCUAACAAGAAAGCACCGGCUAACUACGUGCCAGCAGCCGCGGUAAAACGUAGGGUGCAAGCGUUGUCCGGAAUUACUGGGUGUAAAGGGAGCGCAGGCGGGAAGACAAGUUGGAAGUGAAAACCAUGGGCUCAACCCAUGAAUUGCUUUCAAAACUGUUUUUCUUGAGUAGUGCAGAGGUAGAUGGAAUUCCCGGUGUAGCGGUGGAAUGCGUAGAUAUCGGGAGGAACACCAGUGGCGAAGGCGGUCUACUGGGCACCAACUGACGCUGAGGCUCGAAAGCAUGGGUAGCAAACAGGAUUAGAUACCCUGGUAGUCCAUGCCGUAAACGAUGAUUAAAUGGGUGUUGGGGGAUUGACCCCCCUCAGUGCCGCAGUUAACACAAUAAGU
rnacentral:rRNA from 1 species